ACUCAGUUGUUCAGUAUCGACUUGAGCUUGACGGGCAUCAGGGGCCAGGGAGUGAAAGGGAAGAGAAGCCAAAUCUGGCUGCUAAGGGCUCUCAGUCCUGGAGGGCAGGAAAAUAGUGGCCUUGCCGCUAGACCUGAUGCCACCUGCCCCUCCAGCUGUACCCCCUCAACACCUUGGGUAAUACCUCAAGCCCCACGUCCUCUUCCAAGCCAGAUAGGACCCCAAGUGCUGGGUGAUCCUUAUUGAAGGGUAGGGACAGGAGGGACCCGUGGGAUUGUGUGUGCUCAGAGCGGAGUUCAGGGGCACCUGAGGGCAAACUGUCUCUUUGCUCCCAGGGCUGUCCUCCGUGCCUUUACCUGUGCUGGGCCCUGGCAGAGCUCUGAGUCUUCUGGAUUCCAGCGUCCAUAGUAGCUAGUCUGUCCACUGCUGGAGAAAAGCUGCUUUCCCAAAAUAGCCACCCAGGGGGAAAGAGCAGCCCUGGAAUUUGACCCUGACGAUCACCGUGACGGGGCUGCUGGCCCCACCUGGCCUGACCUCCACGACAUCACGGAAGGACUGUUGGUUAGUUGUGGGGGCCAGGAUUUUUCCUCUGUCCCCCUCCCCUCUUCUUCUUCCCUUUCUUCU
rnacentral:lncRNA from 1 species